UGGGGAAUUUUGGACAAUGGGGGCAACCCUGAUCCAGCAAUGCCGCGUGAGUGAAGAAGGCCUUCGGGUUGUAAAGCUCUUUUGUCAGGGAAGAAACGGUAGUAGCGAAUAACUAUUACUAAUGACGGUACCUGAAGAAUAAGCACCGGCUAACUACGUGCCAGCAGCCGCGGUAAUACGUAGGGUGCAAGCGUUAAUCGGAAUUACUGGGCGUAAAGCGUGCGCAGGCGGUUGUGUAAGUCAGAUGUGGAAUCCCCGGGCUCAACCUGGGAAUUGCAUUUGAGACUGCACGGCUAGAGUGUGUCAGAGGGGGGUAGAAUUCCACGUGUAGCAGUGAAAUGCGUAGAUAUGUGGAGGAAUACCGAUGGCGAAGGCAGCCCCCUGGGAUAACACUGACGCUCAUGCACGAAAGCGUGGGGAGCAAACAGGAUUAGAUACCCACGUAGUCCCUGAGCGGGCUGGCAAGGCGCAU
rnacentral:rRNA from 1 species